rnacentral:lncRNA from 1 species
CCAAAACAAAAAUGUGAAAGACUGCCAAGUUCGAUAAUAUGGGAAUGCUUCGCCUAUAAAAGAAGUGAGAUCUGAAUAAGUACCAAGUUCCAUACACAUACCUCAGUUAAAAAUAGUUACUUUUUAAUGAUGUUACUUGGCAAGUUUUCAUACACCUUGUUAUAAACCUACUAAACGCAAUGAAUCAAGUAUUUAAUUUUCUAUUAAAACUUGCCAAGUAAUCAUCAUUAAAAAGUAACUAUUUUUAACUGAGGUAUGUGUAUGGAACUUGGUGCUUAUUCAGAUCUCACUUCUUUUAUAGGCGAAGCGUUCCCAUAUUAUCGAACUUGGCAGUCUUUCACAUUUUUGUUUUGGGUGGGAUUUCAUUUAUUUUUGUAAGGUUGUUUAUUUUUAUUUUUUUUCUUAUUAUUAAGUUAGUUAAGGAAAUGUCUCAUUUAUACUAUCUUUCAGAUUUUUGAAUAUGCACUAUGCUUCUUAAAAAGAAAUGAACUAGAUUAACUAAAUGGACUAGAUUUACCAACUGACUGACACGACAUGUUAUCAUAUAUUAUGUUCGUGGAUCAAAGUUACACAUUCGUUAUUUUCGAAAGUGACUCACACUUGGCCGUUUUCAGAUUUUUACUUUACUUUGACAUAAAGACCUACCUCCAUGCCAAAUUUCAAGUCAAUACGACCAUUGGAAGUGGUCUAGGUUUUUGAUGAGUGAGUCAGUCAGUCAGUGAGUGUAUAGUAAAAAUAGCGAUUUUCUGACGUCAAUAUCUCAAGACCUACAAUAGGUACAUUCAUGAAAUUUUGUAUUUUAGAUAAGUGAGAGGGUCUCAACAGAUAUAAGAAAUUUGAUAUGCGUAAAUAAAAUAGAUUUUGAGUUAUAGGGGGGUCGAAUUUGGCCCGAAAUGGUUCGUGUAAUAUAACCCACGGCCAGUGUGUCGCUUUUUUUGCUCGAACUUGGCGGACACACUGCCGUGUGUCUAGAUC